rnacentral:rRNA from 1 species
GACGUAGGGCGCGAGCGUUGUCCGGAUUUAUUGGGCGUAAAGAGCUCAUAGGCGGCUUGUCGCGUCGACCGUGAAAACUUGGGGCUCAACCCCAAGCCUGCGGUCGAUACGGGCAGGCUAGAGUUCGGUAGGGGAGACUGGAAUUCCUGGUGUAGCGGUGAAAUGCGCAGAUAUCAGGAGGAACACCGGUGGCGAAGGCGGGUCUCUGGGCCGAUACUGACGCUGAGGAGCGAAAGCAUGGGGAGCGAACAGG